UACGUAGGCAGCAAGCGUUGUUCGGAAUUACUGGGCGUAAAGAGUGUGUAGGCGGUGCUCUAAGUUCGGUGUGAAAUCUCCCGGCUUAACUGGGAGGGUGCGCCGGAAACUGGAGUGCUCGAGCGUGGGAGAGGAAAGCGGAAUUCCUGGUGUAGCGGUGAAAUGCGUAGAUAUCAGGAGGAACACCUGCGGUGUAGACGGCUUUCUGGACCAUUGCUGACGCUGAGACACGAAAGCAUGGGUAGCAAACAGG
rnacentral:rRNA from 1 species